rnacentral:rRNA from 1 species
AGAUUGAACGCUGGCGGCAGGCCUAACACAUGCAAGUCGAACGGCAGCGCGGACUUCGGUCUGGCGGCGAGUGGCGAACGGGUGAGUAAUAUAUCGGAACGUGCCCAGUAGCGGGGGAUAACUACGCGAAAGCGUGGCUAAUACCGCAUACGCCCUACGGGGGAAAGGGGGGAUCGCAAGACCUCUCACUAUUGGAGCGGCCGAUAUCAGAUUAGCUAGUUGGUGAGGUAAAGGCUCACCAAGGCGACGAUCUGUAGCUGGUUUGAGAGGACGACCAGCCACACUGGGACUGAGACACGGCCCAGACUCCUACGGGAGGCAGCAGUGGGGAAUUUUGGACAAGUGGGGAAACCUGAUCCAGCCAUCCCGCGUGUGCGAUGAGGGCCUUCGGUUGGUAAAGUCGACUUU